AGAGUUUGAUCCUGGCUCAGGACGAACGCUGGCGGCGUGCCUAAUACAUGCAAGUCGAACGCUUCUUUUCCCACCGGAGCUUGCUCCACCGGGAAAAGAGGAGUGGCGAACGGGUGAGUAACACGUGGGUAACCUACCCAUCAGAAGGGGAUAACACUUGGAAACAGGUGCUAAUACCGUAUAACAAUCGAAACCGCAUGGUUUCGUUUUGAAAGGCGCUUUACGGUGCCGCUGAUGGAUGGACCCGCGGUGCAUUAGCUAGUUGGUGAGGUAACGGCUCACCAAGGCCACGAUGCAUAGCCGACCUGAGAGGGUGAUCGGCCACAUUGGGACUGAGACACGGCCCAAACUCCUACGGGAGGCAGCAGUAGGGAAUCUUCGGCAAUGGACGAAAGUCUGACCGAGCAACGCCGCGUGAGUGAAGAAGGUUUUCGGAUCGUAAAACUCUGUUGUUAGAGAAGAACAAGGGUGAGAGUAACUGUUCACCCCUUGACGGUAUCUAACCAGAAAGCCACGGCUAACUACGUGCCAGCAGCCGCGGUAAUACGUAGGUGGCAAGCGUUGUCCGGAUUUAUUGGGCGUAAAGCGAGCGCAGGCGGUUUCUUAAGUCUGAUGUGAAAGCCCCCGGCUCAACCGGGGAGGGUCAUUGGAAACUGGGAGACUUGAGUGCAGAAGAGGAGAGUGGAAUUCCAUGUGUAGCGGUGAAAUGCGUAGAUAUAUGGAGGAACACCAGUGGCGAAGGCGGCUCUCUGGUCUGUAACUGACGCUGAGGCUCGAAAGCGUGGGGAGCAAACAGGAUUAGAUACCCUGGUAGUCCACGCCGUAAACGAUGAGUGCUAAGUGUUGGAGGGUUUCCGCCCUUCAGUGCUGCAGCUAACGCAUUAAGCACUCCGCCUGGGGAGUACGACCGCAAGGUUGAAACUCAAAGGAAUUGACGGGGGCCCGCACAAGCGGUGGAGCAUGUGGUUUAAUUCGAAGCAACGCGAAGAACCUUACCAGGUCUUGACAUCCUUUGACCACUCUAGAGAUAGAGCUUCCCCUUCGGGGGCAAAGUGACAGGUGGUGCAUGGUUGUCGUCAGCUCGUGUCGUGAGAUGUUGGGUUAAGUCCCGCAACGAGCGCAACCCUUAUUGUUAGUUGCCAUCAUUUAGUUGGGCACUCUAGCAAGACUGCCGGUGACAAACCGGAGGAAGGUGGGGAUGACGUCAAAUCAUCAUGCCCCUUAUGACCUGGGCUACACACGUGCUACAAUGGGAAGUACAACGAGUCGCGAAGUCGCGAGGCUAAGCUAAUCUCUUAAAGCUUCUCUCAGUUCGGAUUGUAGGCUGCAACUCGCCUACAUGAAGCCGGAAUCGCUAGUAAUCGCGGAUCAGCACGCCGCGGUGAAUACGUUCCCGGGCCUUGUACACACCGCCCGUCACACCACGAGAGUUUGUAACACCCGAAGUCGGUGAGGUAACCUUUUUGGAGCCAGCCGCCUAAGGUGGGAUAGAUGAUUGGGGUGAAGUCGUAACAAGGUAACC
rnacentral:rRNA from 1 species